rnacentral:lncRNA from 1 species
CCCUGCUUAUUGUCAAUAAAUAUUCUAUGGAAAAGAAAUUUCUCUCUAUAAGUUUUCUCAAAAAUGUAAUCUUUAGAAAGUUCACCAAAUUUAAUCUAGAUGGCUCUGGAUUCCCUGAAGAGUUGACAGAAACACGUGUGAAAUUCAUUCAGGCGAUAAGUAAGUUACUCGAUGUUAAAACUGAGUAGAAAUAAUUGGUUUUAUGUGCCUUCAAAUGUUUUAGAUUGUUGUUGUGAGAAAAAAAUUGAAUAAGAUUCUCAAGUUAAAUUCUUUGACAGCUCUCUUAAGGAUUCAAUUUAUAUAAAUGAAGCAAAAUAAUUGAUAAAUGACUUAGCUAUGACUUUUCAUCUUCUGGAGAGAAGUGGUUACUUUAGAAUUCGUCUUCUUCAAGUUGAAUCCAGGGAAAUUGAUACGAAACUUGAAGCCUCCAACACAUAUUGCAUCAUAAGCCAGAGAAAUAAAAGUCCCUCACUUACCGAAGCUGAAGUUAUUGCCCAAGGGGUGGUUGAAACUUUGCAUCAGAUACUAUGA